rnacentral:rRNA from 1 species
CGCAUCUGUGCAUGCAGCAUAUCAAUAAGCGGAGGAAAAGAAACUAACAAGGAUUCCCUUAGUAACGGCGAGUGAAGCGGGAAGAGCUCAAAUUUGAAAUCUUCAAGGUUUUACCUUGACGAAUUGUAGUUUAAAGAAGUGUUUUCUGUUGAAGUUUUGGUAAAAGUUCUUUGGAAUAGGACAUCAUAGAGGGUGAGAAUCCCGUAUUUGACCAUUACUUUCAACUUUGUGAUACACUUUCAAAGAGUCGGAUUGUUUGGGAAUGCAGUCCAAAAUGGGUGGUAAAUUUCAUCUAAAGCUAAAUAUUGGCGAGAGACCGAUAGCGAACAAGUACCGUGAGGGAAAGAUGAAAAGAACUUUGAAAAGAGAGUUAAACAGUACGUGAAAUUGUCAAAAGGGAAGCGUUUGACACCAGUGUUGUUUUUCUGAAAAUCAAUUAAAGAACUGUUUAUGCUAAGCUGUUUAGACUUUAUCAGCUAACUGUUUAGUUUUGAGCUUUUCUUUAAUGCACUUUUCAGUUAACAAGUCAACAUCAAUUUCUUUUGCUGUAAAAAAGCUUGAGGAAGGUGGCUUGAGAUUCGUCUUAAGUGUUUAUAGCCUCUUGCCUAUGCAGUCGGAGAGAUUGAGGUCUGCAGCGUAGAUCCUUCGGGGCUAAAUGCAUUUGUGCUAAGUUAUAGCAUUUUAUAGACAACUUGUUGACUAUGAUUAGUCUUGUAGCUUACUCGCUUAUGCUAUUUUACCUACGCUUAGGAUGUUGAUCUCUCACAGUCGAGC